CUGCUACAGAAGAACAAGAACAAGAUGGACAUCCACGGCUGAACAUGACCUCUGACCCCGCUUGGCGGCACUGCAUCGCCCCGCGCGUUCGCCCGUGACAGCUCGCUCGCUCGCCUGCGCAUGCCCCCUUCGCUCGCGAUAGAUCCCCAGCCCCCAGUCCCCAGCCCCGGCGGUUGUUCUCCUAAAGUUGGAUCUCGAUGCAGGAAGCUUGAUUCGUGUUGGGUCCACGCGUGUGAUGCCGAGAUGGGCGGCGCGACGCCCACGUUGUCGACGCCCAUCGUUUCCAGCUUCAUGCCUCCAGCCAUGCGCACGACGAGGAUGGCAUCAGAAAGGAGAAGAAAAAUGAAGGAAGCAGGAAGGAGAUCUGAGCAGAGCUCCUACGCGGAAGGGAACAAGUUCCAUGCAGCCAUGCGGAACGAGUGAAUGAGGGUAUCCGUGCGGCGUCCGCCCGUCAGAAGGAUAAUGCCGGGCAAGUGCAAUGUUUUCUAGAGAUGGGUCUCACAGAUCCUAUGUCUGUUAUCUACUCCUAUCUAGGAGUAUAAUGUGUGUUUUCUUUUUGACAAUUUAAUUCACAAUUGCAGUCUUUUGGAGACGUACAGUACCUAA